rnacentral:ncRNA from 1 species
ACGAUUGCGAUGAGAAAGUUGAGUAAUAACUGAUAUCAAACAAAGCGAGCUUCGUCUGGUGAAAGGAAGUGCUGAUUAGGUUAUGAAAACCCCUUUCGAGCGAUGUACUGAACAAAAAGUAAAGUGCAUGGGGAGCGCCCCUUACAGCGUCAGCGUAUGUUAGUACGUCAAGGUAGCUUUUUUAAGCUACGAAUGUAAGGUGGUACCGUGUCGAAUGACGCCCUUAGU